CUAUGUGUUGUUGGGUAGGGGAGCGUUCUGUAAGCCUGUGAAGGUGGCCUGUGAGGGUUGCUGGAGGUAUCAGAAGUGCGAAUGCUGACAUAAGUAACGAUAAAGCGGGUGAAAAGCCCGCUCGCCGGAAGACCAAGGGUUCCUGUCCAACGUUAAUCGGGGCAGGGUGAGUCGACCCCUAAGGCGAGGCCGAAAGGCGUAGUCGAUGGGAAACAGGUUAAUAUUCCUGUACUUGGUGUUACUGCGAAGGGGGGACGGAGAAGGCUAUGUUGGCCGGGCGACGGUUGUCCCGGUUUAAGCGUGUAGGCUGGUUUUCCAGGCAAAUCCGGAAAACCAAGGCUGAGGCGUGAUGACGAGGCACUACGGUGCUGAAGCGACAAAUGCCCUGCUUCCAGGAAAAGCCUCUAAGCAUCAGGUAACAUCAAAUCGUACCCCAAACCGACACAGGUGGUCAGGUAGAGAAUACCAAGGCGCUUGAGAGAACUCGGGUGAAGGAACUAGGCAAAAUGGUGCCGUAACUUCGGGAGAAGGCACGCUGAUAUGUAGGUGAAGCGACUAGCUCGUGGAGCUGAAAUCAGUCGAAGAUACCAGCUGGCUGCAACUGUUUAUUAAAAACACAGCACUGUGCAAACACGAAAGUGGACGUAUACGGUGUGACGCCUGCCCGGUGCCGGAAGGUUAAUUGAUGGGGUUAGCGGUAACGCGAAGCUCUUGAUCGAAGCCCCGGUAAACGGCGGCCGUAACUAUAACGGUCCUAAGGUAGCGAAAUUCCUUGUCGGGUAAGUUCCGACCUGCACGAAUGGCGUAAUGAUGGCCAGGCUGUCUCCACCCGAGACUCAGUGAAAUUGAACUCGCUGUGAAGAUGCAGUGUACCCGCGGCAAGACGGAAAGACCCCGUGAACCUUUACUAUAGCUUGACACUGAACAUUGAGCCUUGAUGUGUAGGAUAGGUGGGAGGCUUUGAAGUGUGGACGCCAGUCUGCAUGGAGCCGACCUUGAAAUACCACCCUUUAAUGUUUGAUGUUCUAACGUUGGCCCGUAAUCCGGGUUGCGGACAGUGUCUGGUGGGUAGUUUGACUGGGGCGGUCUCCUCCUAAAGAGUAACGGAGGAGCACGAAGGUUGGCUAAUCCUGGUCGGACAUCAGGAGGUUAGUGCAAUGGCAUAAGCCAGCUUGACUGCGAGCGUGACGGCGCGAGCAGGUGCGAAAGCAGGUCAUAGUGAUCCGGUGGUUCUGAAUGGAAGGGCCAUCGCUCAACGGAUAAAAGGUACUCCGGGGAUAACAGGCUGAUACCGCCCAAGAGUUCAUAUCGACGGCGGUGUUUGGCACCUCGAUGUCGGCUCAUCACAUCCUGGGGCUGAAGUAGGUCCCAAGGGUAUGGCUGUUCGCCAUUUAAAGUGGUACGCGAGCUGGGUUUAGAACGUCGUGAGACAGUUCGGUCCCUAUCUGCCGUGGGCGCUGGAGAACUGAGGGGGGCUGCUCCUAGUACGAGAGGACCGGAGUGGACGCAUCACUGGUGUUCGGGUUGUCAUGCCAAUGGCACUGCCCGGUAGCUAAAUGCGGAAGAGAUAAGUGCUGAAAGCAUCUAAGCACGAAACUUGCCCCGAGAUGAGUUCUCCCUGACUCCUUG
rnacentral:rRNA from 1 species